UAUAAAUGGCGGCGAGCAGUCAGUUUCCUUCUCUUCCUUCCUGCGGACGGAACAGAAAACAUCAUGAAUCUCCCGGAUUUCUUCAUGCGCACAGUGGCUGAACCGGACCCCUGCUGGCAUAAUUCUGCAGAUGCUGGGUGAAUCAGCAGAGCGGAGUGAGGGAACUUGACACAUCUCCAGCAGGUCGACUAUGGUGGCGACGACAGCAGUGACGGCGAAAACUGCACUGCAGGGCUCGCCGGGCGUUGAUCCACCGCCGGGCUGCUGGCGUUCACCGGAGCUUCAGCUCCAGCGGCGGGACGGUUUGACCGGAGAAGAUGAUCAAUAAAGACAUGGAUCUGCAACGUGACCGGAUGGAGUGUUUAUUGAUGUGUAACAGAAAAGGGUGCAACAGUAUUUACAGUAAGGCCACCACAGCAGAGGGAGCACGGUUCGAGUCCUGGAGGGAAUCCAGGAGGAGUCGUCGUCUGGACUGUAGAGGAGGAGAAGGUUCAAGUCAAAUCAGGCUUCAUGUUCCAGACCUGCUCAUUCUGUUUCUUACAAGUCAUUCAAAACUAAUCCUUUAACAAGGUGCACUUCAUGUUUAGGAUUCAGGGAAUGUGUAAACGUGCAUCAUUUCAGGGGAUUGUUUUACUUUGGAAACCUAAAAACAAGGAAAAGCUUCAUUGUUUGUUUAUGGGGGGAAACUAUGGAACAACUGGAAGCAAUAAAGAAAUAUUUAAAAGAUGAAA